GAUGAACGCUAGCGGCAGGCUUAAUACAUGCAAGUCGAGGGGCAGCAGGGGUGUAGCAAUACACUCGCUGGCGACCGGCAAACGGGUGCGGGACACGUACGCAACCUACCCAAAACUGGGGAAUAGCCCGGGGAAACCCGGAUUAAUACCUCGUAACAUAAUGAAGUGGCAUCGCUUUAUUAUUAUAGCUCCGGCGGUUUUGGAUGGGCGUGCGCCUGAUUAGGUAGUUGGCAGGGUAACGGCCUACCAAGCCUACGAUCAGUAACUGGUGUGAGAGCACGACCAGUCACACGGGUACUGAGACACGGGCCCGACUCCUACGGGAGGCAGCAGUAAGGAAUAUUGGUCAAUGGACGCAAGUCUGAACCAGCCAUGCCGCGUGAAGGAUGAAGGUCCUCUGGAUUGUAAACUUCUUUUAUAGGGGAAGAAACCCACGGUUUCCACUGUGGUUGACGGUACCCUAGGAAUAAGCACCGGCUAACUCCGUGCCAGCCGCCGCGGUAACAC
rnacentral:rRNA from 1 species